ACAAAAUGAAUAUGCGAAAGGCACAAUUAUAUCAUAUAAAUAAUUUACAAGGUUAAUUGUAACUAAGUGCAAGUAGUUUGCGUAAUCAUAUCAGCAAGGUGAAAUUUUUGUUUUAACUAUAUGCAAUUGGUGCUGUGAAAAGUUAAUUUAUUGUACUGCUGGAAAUAGAAGGUAUGUGAGGGGUAGGUGUCAUUUUCCAUCCAACUUAAUAGAGCAUAUAAACGACGGACCAAUUCUGCUAAAAACGGCAUGAUUGGGGGCUACUAAUGUAACUCCAAAAUGUUUAGGCCAUUUUGAAAAAAAAAUGAUAAAGUUUGAGGACGAAAAAAUGUAUUUUUUGAUAAAUACACUUUUCGUCCCUAUACUUUGUCACUUACUCGAUUUUCGUCCUUCAACAAGAUGAAGUUACAAUUUUCGUUCCUAAACAUGUCACUCUAAUGAUGUUUAUGUCCUUCCGUCCAUUUACCCAGUUAUAAUAGACGGAAAAUAGUAUAUGCGAACGCACGUGACAUCAAAGGCACCCCCCCCACCCCCCCCCCCCCUAAGGGGGCAAUAACGUUCAGAUCGCACAUUGCAAGUAACACAAUCUGCCAUAAUUCUCUCUUGAAAUUCAAAUGCCCUCUUUUCCAAAUCCCUAAUUUCUUCCACAUCUCACCUGUAAAUUUCUACCUUCUAGAAGAAAAAAGCGUUCAAUCACCAAUAGUUUUAUAGAUUACAAUUUCUAGAGUGGAGCUACAGAGUUGUGACAAAUACUAGGGUUCUUCAUCUAAGGACAACAAAAAUGUCGAGAAGAACUUCACUGAUGCCUGAAUGUACUCCGAAUUACGGUAAGUUUCUUUUGUUUAAUUUUUUUUUAAAUCCUACUCAAUAAUUAAAUAUAGUUUGUGUUUGGGAAUUAACAUGUUUCACGAUUAAAAUGAGACAUAGUGGAAUUAUGAGGCACUCUCCAACGAGAAAAUACUUAGGAGGAAGUCUUGAAUUUUUUGAUUUUGUCGAUAUAGAUCAAAUUGGGAUGUUUGACCUUUGGGGUUUUGCUGAGGAGUUGGGGUACACUGAAAAAUGGAGUCUUGUUUUAUGCUUAAGAAUUAAAAAGGUUUUGAUAAACACUACAAGUAUAUUGAGACUGAUGGUGUUGUGUUUAAUAUAAAAGGGCAUAUUCCAAAAAACUAGGAAGUUGAGAUAUUUAUUGAAUAUCUAAACCUGGGAGGGGAUGUGGAAGGUGAAAUUGGGGGUAGGUUAGUCAAUGAAUAUAAUUGAUGAUUUAGGGUUGAAAGGUGAGCAUGACAGUGAAUCUCAUGAAUUUAGUGAGGAUGAUGAUGUGUUUUAUCAAAGUGAUUAUGACAUGGAAGAUGAUGAUAAAUUGUUUGAGCAAUUUGUAAAUUCUAAGGCUGAGUUUGGGGGGUUGGGUAAGGGUAAGUCUGUUGUAGAUGAUGAUUUUAUUAGUGAGGAGAUGCAUAAGGCUGCAAAAUGAAAAAGGUGAUGAAGUUUGUGUAAUUAUUGAUGAUGAAUUUGACAACUCAAAUGGAAGUGAUGAGGAUGUAGGUAAGGGUAGAAUUAAUACAGUUCCCAAAUUUUAAUUCUAAAACUGUGAAUAAGAAUCCAGACAUCAUGCUAGACUUGAUUUAAAAAGGAUGCAAAAUUUUCUAAUUUAAUCCUAUUGUUUUAUGAGGGGUAUGAUGGUGAAAUUUCAAAAUAAUGAUGUCAUUAGACUCGGGAUUGUGUGUAAAAAAUAGGGUUGUGGAUGGUACAUUCAUGUCUCCGAAAUGCAAAAUGACCACUCUUGGCAAGUGAAAACUUAUAACUCAAUUCACACUAAAUGUUCUUGCAACUAUAACAAUACAAUUGCCUUAAGUCUGGUUGGAUUGGCAAACCAUUUAUGAAAAAACUGAAAGGCAAUCCAAAGUUGGGUACAAAUAAAUUAAGACGUGAAAUUUGUAUAACUUUGAAGACCAAUAUAACCAGAUCACAUGCUUACAGGGCAAGAAGAAAGGCAAUAAAAACAAUCUAUGGUACUUUGGAGGAACAAUUUUCAAAAAAUUAUAAUUAUUGUCUACAAAUUGGAAGAACUAAUCAGGUUCUACAGUUAUCAUGAAACCCACUAAGGAGAGAAGAUUUCAUAGGUUACACACGUGUUUCAAUGCAUGUAAGGUUGAGUUUAAAAAUGGUUGUAGGCCUAUAAUUGGGGUGGAUGGUUGUUUCUUAAAGGGUGGGCAUGUAUGUCUACUGUUAACUGCAGUUGAGUUAGAUCCAAACAACAAUAUCUUCAGAAUUGUGCAUGCAAUAGUUGAAUCUGAAACAAAAGAUAUUUGUAUGUGUUUUUUGAACUUGUUGAAUGCAGAUAUUGGAUUUCAAAAUGAACAUUAUUGUACUUUCAUGUCUGACAAGUAAAAAUGGUUAAUUCCUGCCUUUGAAACCUUGUUUCCCAAUGUUGAAAAUAAAUUUUGUGUGAGACAUUUACAUAGAAAUAUAAAGAGGGAUGGGUUCAGUGGGUUGACUGUCAAGACAACAUUAUGGGGAGUACAUGGUUGAGGAAUUUAAUAGAAAAAUGCAAGAGUUGAGAGACUUAGAUGCAGAUACAUAUCAAUGGUUAGUGAAAAAGCCUCCUUAAAACAAUAUGUGUGAAUGUUUCAAUAUAUUGACUAGAUCCCAUUUCAGUCCACAUCCUAAGUGUGACAUCGUACUGAACAAUAUGUGUGAAUGUUUCAAUAGUUUCAUUCUUGACGCAAGAGAAAACCCAAUUAUUUCUUAACUUGAAACUAUUAGAAAUCUGUUAAUGACUAGGAUGCAUGCAAUUUAACAAAGAAAAACUGCAAAAUAGGAAGGUCCCUUGUGUCUCAAAUCUUAAUGAAGAUUAUGAAGGAGGCUGGUGAGUGUAUACCUGAAAUGUGAUGAUUACCAUUUUUAGAUUAUUGGUCCAUUUGACCGACACAUUGUUGACUUGUUGGAGAGAAAGUGUAGCUGUAGAAACUGGAUUUGAGUGGCAUACCUUGUAAAUUAAACAUGCAUGUUCAACAAUAUGGUUUAGAAAUGAGGAGCCUGAAUGAUAUGUACAUAGUUGUUACAAGGCUGAGACAUAUUUACCGAUUUACGAGCCUUCAAUCUUAGGCUUUAAUGGACCUGAGUUGUAGCCCAAAAGUGCAUUAGAACCUCCCUGCCUCCAAACUAUAUUGAAAAAACUGGCAGGCCUCAAAGGCUAAGGAGGCGGGAUCCUGAUGAACCCGCUGCCUCAGGUGCAAAUUCACUUAGAUUGAGAGAAAUUAAAAGAAACAAUAAAUGUAAAAC
rnacentral:lncRNA from 1 species